UGGAAAGGGCAAAUUGUUGAAAGAAAGAGGCAUACAUCUUGAAUUUCCCCCCAUCCUUCUAGAAAGAAAAUGAACAGGGUGGGGUGUGAGGCAAAGGCACUGGAAGCUAUGCCUCUGAAAAACAGUCGUCCUGCGGAGAAAGGUCACCUACAGACAGUUGAAGAAAGAAAUGUCAUGCAAACUUGACAUCACGGAAGAAACAUGACAUGUGGAUUAUUAAAGAGCAACUGGCUGACUUUUAACCCUGGGUGCAUUGCUCAGACCCCAUUACCUGUGCAUUUAUACCGGGAAGAAUUACAGGGUAUAUGAGCCACAAAGAGGAGAUGACAAAGCAGAGGUAAGAGGUUGUAAAAAUAUCAGGGAAAGCAGGAUGUAGAUCUCACCAUUUUCAACACUUAAAUGGAUGAGUAAUACAUUUCAGAAAAUUAAUUGCUCCUUUAAGAAGGGGGGUCAGUUUCUAAGUCCAAGGAGAAAGAGAUGGAUUUGAAAAAAGUGCAGCAUCUUCAUGCUGACUCUCAGGCACUCAGUUUCUCAGGGUUAAAAAAAUAAAACAAAACAAAAACUCUUGUUUACUUAAACAAAGUCUUAGCUUCAGAAACAAAAGCUAUAUCAA
rnacentral:lncRNA from 1 species